rnacentral:rRNA from 1 species
GAUGAACGCUGGCGGCGUGCCUAAUACAUGCAAGUCGAGCGAACAGACGAGGAGCUUGCUCCUCUGACGUUAGCGGCGGACGGGUGAGUAACACGUGGAUAACCUACCUAUAAGACUGGGAUAACUUCGGGAAACCGGAGCUAAUACCGGAUAAUAUAUUGAACCGCAUGGUUCAAUAGUGAAAGACGGUUUUGCUGUCAAUUAUAGAUGGAUCCGCGCCGCAUUAGCUAGUUGGUAAGGUAACGGCUUACCAAGGCAACGAUGCGUAGCCGACCUGAGAGGGUGAGCGGCCACACUGGAACUGAGACACGGUCCAGGCUCCUACGUGAGGCAGCAGUAGGGAAUCUUCCGCAAUGGGCGAAAGCUUGACGGAGCAACGCCGCGUGAGUGAUGAAGGUCUUCGGAUCGUAAAACUCUGUUAUUAGGGAAGAACAAAUGUGUAAGUAACUAUGCACGUCUUGACGGUACCUAAUCAGAAAGCCACGGCUAACUACGUG